UGAAUACGAGACGCUAAGGCGUCGAAGUAGUGUAUGUCAUACUUCCAAGAAAAGCUUGCACUGUCAUAGAUAAAAAACGCCUGUACCAUAACCGACACAGGUGGGUAGGUAGAGUAUACUAAGGGGCGCGAGAUAACUCUCUCUAAGGAACUCGGCAAAAUAACCCCGUAACUUCGGGAGAAGGAGUGCCUUAUUCGUAAGGUUGCAAUAACAAGAUCCAAGCAACUGUUUAUCAAAAACACAGGUCUCCGCUAAGUCGUAAGACGAUGUAUGGGGGCUGACGCCUGCCCAGUGCCAGAAGGUUAAAGAAGUUGGUUAGCAAUUGCGAAGCUGAUAACUGAAGCCCUGGUGAACGGCGGCCGUAACAAUAACGGUCCUAAGGUAGCGAAAUUCCUUGUCGGGUAAGUUCCGACCCGCACGAAAGGCGUAAUGAUUUGGAUACUGUCUCGGAGAGGGGCUCGGUGAAAUAGACUUGUCUGUGAAGAUGCGGACUACCUGCACCAGGACAGAAAGACCCUAUGAAGCUUUACUGUAACUUGAAAUUGAAAUUGGACUUUAUUCGCGCAGUAUAGGUGGGAGGCGUUGAUUAUAAUCUUGUGGGAUUAUUGGAGCCAUCAGUGAGAUACCACUCUUGUAAUGUUAGAUUUCUAACUUUGAAUCAUUAUCUGGUCAAAGAACAGUUUCAGGCGGGCAGUUUGACUGGGGCGGUCGCCUCCUAAACGGUAACGGAGGCGUACAAAGGUUUCCUCUGAACGGUUAGAAAUCGUAUCUAGAGUGUAAAGGCAUAAGGAAGCUUGACUGUGAGACCUACAAGUCGAGCAGGGACGAAAGUCGGUCUUAGUGAUCUGACGGUACUGAGUGGAAAGGCCGUCACUCAACGGAUAAAAGUUACUCUAGGAUAACAGGCUGAUCUCCCCCAAGAGUUCACAUCGACGGGGAGGUUUGGCACCUCGAUGUCGGCUCAUCGCAUCCUGGGGCGGUAGUACGUCCCAAGGGUUGGGCUGUUCGCCCAUGAAAGCGGUACGCGAGCUGGGUUCAGAACGUCGUGAGACAGUUCGGUCCAUAUCCGGCGUAGGCGUUAGAAUAUUGAGAGGAGCCUUCUUUAGUACGAGAGGACCGAGAAGGACAUACCUCUGGUGUACCAGUUAUCGUGCCAACGGUAAACGCUGGGUAGCUAUGUAUGGAGUGGAUAACCGCUGAAAGCAUCUAAGUGGGAAGCCCACCUCAAGAUAAGUAUUCUC
rnacentral:rRNA from 1 species